rnacentral:rRNA from 1 species
GCACAAGCGGUGGAUGAUGUGGAUUAAUCGAUGCAACGCGAAGAACCUUACUACCCUUGACAUGUCCGGAACUUGCCAGAGAUGGCUUGGUGCCCGAAAGGGAAUCGGAACACAGGUGCUGCAUGGCUGUCGUCAGCUCGUGUCGUGAGAUGUUGGGUUAAGUCCCGCAACGAGCGCAACCCUUAUCAUUAGUUGCUACGCAAGGGCACUCUAAUGAGACUGCCGGUGACAAACCGGAGAAGCGGGGAUGACGCCAAGUCCUCAUGGCCCUUAUGGGUAGGGCUUCACACGUCAUACAAUGGUCGGUACAGAGGGUUGCCAAGCCGCGAGGCGGAGCCAAUCCCACAAAGCCGAUCGUAGUCCGGAUUGUUCUCUGCAACUCGAGAGCAUGAAGUCGGAAUCGCUAGUAAUCGCAGGUCAGCAUACUGCGGUGAAUACGUUCCCGGGUCUU